rnacentral:rRNA from 1 species
UACGUAGGGGGCAAGCGUUGUCCGGAAUCAUUGGGCGUAAAGAGCGUGUAGGCGGCUCGAUAAGUCCGCUGUGAAAGUCGAGGGCUCAACCCUCGAAUGCCGGCGGAUACUGUCGGGCUAGAGUCCGGAAGAGGCGAGUGGAAUUCCUGGUGUAGCGGUGAAAUGCGCAGAUAUCAGGAAGAACACCCGUGGCGAAGGCGGCUCUCUGGGACGGUACUGACGCUGAGACGCGAAAGCGUGGGGAGCGAACAGG